rnacentral:lncRNA from 1 species
UCCCAUCUCAGCCUCCCAAAGCGUUGGGAUUACAGGUGUGAGCCACUGCAACUGGCCCAGAACUGGAGUAUUUAUACACCCAAUCCUUGAAUAAACCAGCAGACCAAUUCAGAGCCCAUUUCAGUGGUGCAGGUGAGAGGUGUUAGAGACCUGGACAAGGUGGUGGCAGAUGAAGAUGGAGAGAAGAGAGAUAGGAUCUCGCUAUGUUGCCCAGGCUGACCUCCUGCCUCAUGCAUCCCUCACCAAGCUUAACAGUUUACAAAUGGGAAAUCCACAACAUUGGUCAAGAAGAAAAGGCACCAUGAAUGGGAAGACCGAAGUGCAGACAACCAGCUGGA